AUUGAACGCUGGCGGCAGGCCUAACACAUGCAAGUCGAACGGUAACAGGAAACAGCUUGCUGUUUCGCUGACGAGUGGCGGACGGGUGAGUAAUGUCUGGGAAACUGCCUGAUGGAGGGGGAUAACUACUGGAAACGGUAGCUAAUACCGCAUAACGUCGCAAGACCAAAGAGGGGGACCCUCGGGCCUCUUGCCAUCGGAUGUGCCCAGAUGGGACUAGCUUGUUGGUGGGGUAACGGCUCACCAAGGCGACGAUCCCUAGCUGGUCUGAGAGGAUGACCAGCCACACUGGAACUGAGACACGGUCCAGACUCCUACGGGAGGCAGCAGUGGGGAAUAUUGCACAAUGGGCGCAAGCCUGAUGCAGCCAUGCCGCGUGUAUGAAGAAGGCCUUCGGGUUGUAAAGUACUUUCAGCGGGGAGGAAGGGAGUAAAGUUAAUACCUUUGCUCAUUGACGUUACCCGCAGAAGAAGCACCGGCUAACUCCGUG
rnacentral:rRNA from 1 species